rnacentral:tRNA from 3 species
GCGAGGAUCGCCGAGCCAGGUCAAAGGCGAUGGAUUUAGGGUCCAUUCCCGCAGGGGUUCGCCGGUUCGAAUCCGGCUCCUCGCA